GCGGAGAUGGCAGAGAGGCCAAAUGCGCUCGGCUUGAGACCGAGAUCCCGAAAGGGAGCGGGGGUUCGACUCCCUCUCUCCGCG
rnacentral:tRNA from 1 species